GCGCUCACUUUGGUAGCACAUAUACUAAACUUGGAACAAUACAGAGAAGAUUAGCAUGGCCCCUGUGCAAGGGUGACACAAAAACUUGUGAAGCAUUCCAUAUUUGU